rnacentral:lncRNA from 1 species
CGAAAUGUCGGACAUUGUUAGCUGUACAGUAUCCUUCAAUAAAUUCCGAGGGGGGUGCUUGGAGAAUGAAGACAUCUGUCGGAUCCCAACUAAACCCUUUGAAAAUAUUUCGCGCAAACUUGAUACCGUGCAGACGCAAACUUGACGUGUAGACCGAAAAGGUAAUCAUAACAACUCAGAACAGCAGGAUUCAAGGAUGAAUUGAACAAGAAACUGGAAGAAGUAAGCAAGAAAACGAUUCAUUCAAUAUCCGAAACGCAAGAAUUGAUCCAGCAACUGACGGCCUACACAUGUCAACAAAUGUUGGAGGAGACAACGACCAAAAUGGAGAAUCUUUGUAAUCAGUUGUUGAUUAAGAAUGAACACAAUAGAAAUCUUGACAGAAAGACUCGCAAAGCAGAAUACAUAUUAGCUGGCCAAGAGACCUCUCAGCGAUUAAUAUGCUGAUUUGGAAAAAAACAAAUUGCUUAUCUUAAGUUUCAGUUGUCUGAAAAGGCUAUUGAACUCCAGUGCAAGGAAAGGAAGAUUGAGGAAACUGAGAAUGCCUUGAAAGACUUGUCGCUACAUUCUCAUAGCAAUGAACAGUUGGCCAUUGUCGAAGAAAGUAAUCGCGAACUUUAGGGCAAAUUUGAUGAAAAGGCCCAGGAACUUGAAGCUGCUCUUGUUUGUCGAGAGAAUUCACAACGAUUAAAAGCCGAUCUUGACAAGGAAGUUGCUGAUCUCAAAUGUCAGCUUAUGUCAAAGUCAAUAGAACUCCAGUUGAGCGGAUGGAAGAAAGGGAGAAAGCCAUAGACGAAUUACGCUAAAGUCUCUUAUAACACUUAACGGAAACUUGCCGAUCAGAAAUGGACAUGUCGAGACAAAAAGAAAAGUUGGAGUUAGACGCUUUCACAGAACACGAAGCCGGAAGUGAUUCGGAUUAGCCCCUUUAAGUCCCAGUCAUCGCCCCCUUUCUUACGCAAAUUAUUUAUGUUAUGCUAAUUUUCUUUAUGUCCCCUCAAACAAGUGUAGUAAAUUGAUAGUUAUGAAAUAUAAUAAUGGCGUAUUUAUUUAAAAA